CCUACGGGAGGCAGCAGUGAGGAAUAUUGGUCAAUGGACGAGAGUCUGAACCAGCCAAGUAGCGUGAAGGAUGACUGCCCUAUGGGUUGUAAACUUCUUUUAUAAAGGAAUAAAACGAGGCACGUGUGCCUUUUUGCAUGUACUUUAUGAAUAAGGAUCGGCUAACUCCGUGCCAGCAGCCGCGGUAAUACGGGGGAUCCGAGCGUUAUCCGGAUUUAUUGGGUUUAAAGGGAGCGUAGAUGGGUUGUUAAGUCAGUUGUGAAAGUUUGCGGCUCAACCGUAAAAUUGCAAUUGAUACUGGCAGUCUAGAGUACAGUAGAGGGAGGCGGAAUUCGGGGUGUAGCGGUGAAAUGCGUAGAUAUCACGAAGAACCCCGAUUGCGAAGGCAGGUUACUAAACUGUGACUGACAUUGAUGCUCGAAAGUGUGGGUAUCAAACAGGAUUAGAUACCCCAGUAGUC
rnacentral:rRNA from 1 species